GAUGAACGCUGGCGGCGUGCCUAAUACAUGCAAGUCGAGCGAACAGAUGAGGAGCUUGCUCCUCUGACGUUAGCGGCGGACGGGUGAGUAACACGUGGAUAACCUACCUAUAUGACUGGGAUAAUUUCGGGAAACCGGAGCUAAUACCGGAUAAUAUAUUGAACCGCAUGGUUCAAUAGUGAAAGACGGUUUUGCUGUCACUUCUAGAUGGAUCCGCGCCGCAUUAGCUAGUUGGUAAGGUAACGGCUUACCAAGGCAACGAUGCGUAGCCGACCGGAGAGGGUGAUAGGCCACACUGGAACGGGGACACGGUCCAGACUCCUGCGGGAGGCAGCAGUAGGGAAUCUUCCGCAAUGGGCGAAAGCCUGACGGAGCAACGCCGCGUGAGUGAUGAAGGUCUUCGGAUCGUAAAGCUCUGUUAUUAGGGAAGAACAAAUGUGUAAGUAACUAUGCACGUCUUGACGGUACCUAAUCAGAAAGCCACGGCUAACUACGUG
rnacentral:rRNA from 1 species